ACCGCCCCGGGAUAACGGGGAGGAAGGCGGGAUGACGUCAAGUCAGCAUGGCCCUUAUGUCCAGGGCUACACACGUGCUACAAUGGGCGAUACAGAGGGAAGCAAGGCCGCAAGGUAGAGCUAAAUCCCUAAAGUCGUCCUCAGUUCGGAUUGCAGGCUGCAACUCGCCUGCAUGAAGUCGGAAUCGCUAGUAAUCGCGGAUCAGCUACGCCGCGGUGAAUACGUUCCCGGGCCUU
rnacentral:rRNA from 1 species